UACGCCCAUUGUUGUAUAUGACGAUCCGGUGUGCAAGUCAGACACAUGUGCUUUAUCGGUGCGACGCGACUGACCGAAGAGUCGCACCGAGGAAUUAAAUGUGUGUUUAGGCCGGUGACGGAAGGGGCCCAGGUAGCAUUCCAUCGGUUUACAAGGAUGUAAUAGCGAAAUAAAAGGGAAUAAUAAAAUUUUAUUGGCCCCAAUUGAUGGUCGGGCGUGAGAGCCCUCCAUGGCCAUACUGAUCCAAGAGGGAUAAACCGCCCGGACGAAGAUCAAUGGCAAUACAGCUCUCUACCAAGAAAUAAAUUUUAUUAGGUCCAAUCUUAGUCAAUUCGUGCGUUGUGAUUUUCGUAAAAACGGAUUUUUAUUUCCAAUAUAAUUUAUUUUUUAACAACAAAAAGAUUUACCUUCUCGAAAAAAUCUUGUCAGUAUUUAGCGAACCUUUCGCCUUAAAUGUUGCAAUCGGAUAUUUCACAUUAACAUCGAGGAGUACUGAAUCCAACAGAUCCCAUCGACUAAGAAAAUUUUUUUGCUAUCAGCCCCUUUUGAAAUGAACUGAGAGAGGAAUAGGGCGAGGUGUGAUACGUGUCGUUUUCUACUGAAUCUAAAUGGCUGUUUCUCUGUGAUCAUCUCUGUGAUAGACAUCGUUCAGGCAGUUUGUGAACGUAGCAUGAGAGACGAGAGUGGAUGCAAAUCAAAACCGAUUUCAUCUGUAAAAAACGUCAGGGCCAAACCAGGGAACUGGGCAUAAAAGGUCAUCGGACCAAUAAACCAAAAAUAUCAAACUUUUUAAGAUGUCGCCAAACUUAUUUUCUUAUGCACUCGUUGAUGACGUAAAUCCGUGUA